rfam:Tupaia chinensis contig182014, whole genome shotgun sequence.
AGCUUUGCGCAGUGGCAGUAUCGUAGCCAAUGAGGUUUAUCCGAGGCGCGAUUAUUGCUAAUUGAAAACUAGGAGAACUUCAUUUGUUGUAAAAUUAAGACAAUGUUAUUAAGGAAAAAGGUAAUGGUUAAUUGAAAAUAUGUUUU